UAAAAGUGAAGAAAUGGAGACAUUAUACCACAUAGUGGUUAGAUGGCAGGAGCAUUUUAAUGUUUUUUUGUAUUUUUCUGCUAUUGACUGACAUUUUGAAGAACAGAGUGCCAAAAAACUUUCCUCCCGGACCGUGGGCUCUUCCUUUUUUCGGCGAUGUUCAUCGCAUCAGACCUGACAGAAUUCACCUGCAGUUUAGAGAAUUUGCAGAGAAGUAUGGAAAAAUUUUCACCCUUCGACUCUUUGGUCAAAGAACUGUGGUCAUUAAUAGCUACAAGUUUGUGAAAGAAGCCCUGGUCCAGCGAGGAGAAGACUUCAUAGAUCGUCCCAGCAUACCAUCAUUUAUAGAUUUAUUUGGGAAUAAAGGUCUUGUGCGUUCAAAUGGUUAUCUGUGGAAGGAGCAGAGAAGUCACCAUCUGGAUUUUUAAGAUUGAAAGUUAGACACAGGGAGCAAUGAAUUACUGUCGGCUAAGCCUCAUCUCCACUAAUGGCACCAUGAUCCUGGCUACCCUGGACUCAGUCCUACGUGAAUAAGUCAGUGUGGGAAACUCCGCAUUCUUUCAACCCUCAACACUUUCUGGACAGGGACGGUAAAUUUCGCAAGAGAGACGCCUUCCUUCCAUUUUCUGCAGGUAAGCGUGUGUGUCUUGGAGAACAGCUGGCCCGGAUGGAGUUAUUUUUGUUUUUCACCUCCAUCCUUCAAAGGUUCUCUCUGUCACCACCUGCUGGAGAGCAGCCCAGUCUCAGUUUCAGUUGGGAGGCACACACCGUCCCAAACCUUACCGCCUCUGUGCUGUAACACGUUAAUCCAUCAACUAUCUUAACUUGAUGGUGUCUUUUUCUCGGGACAAUGAAUUACUGUCUUCCAUCAGCUCCUCCAGGGGGACACCAGAAAGUUGUAAAAAAUUCAGGAGAAAAGGAUAAAUUAUAUUAUUUCACCACA